rnacentral:lncRNA from 1 species
UUUGGGUUCGAUCCUUAGAACACUCUAGUGUUCCAUUGUAGGACUACAAAUAUUACAACUGACCUAUCACAAUUGCAGUAAAGCAGCAAUUUUUAUAUUGUAUUUUAAUUUUUGAGUGUUGACCUUCAUACUUUCUCUAUUUGUUCGCGAGGAUGGAGAGAGCGAAAGAGAUAAGUAGUCAAGUUGUUGGCGCCAUUGCUGGGGAAUCGAAUUUUAAUUGAACUAUUUUUAUUUCUAUUGUUGUACUUAGGAGAUAAUCAACGAAAGUCAAGGUUAUAGAUAUGAAUUUUUUUUUAUUUAUUUUAUUUCAUUUACAAUUUUUAGUUAAUUUGUUUCACUCUCAUGUGCUUGUAGAAGGUGUUGUAUGACUUACACCAGUACCGGUGUCUUACCAUUUAAGUUGGAAUCGGUACAUAUUAUUACACACGUGAGGAGGACGCAACAUCCUAGGGAUGUCCAACCUCUAUAAAGAGACCAAUCCAUCGAAGAUCCACAAGUAGAGAUUCAACCACCA